rnacentral:misc_RNA from 1 species
AACGCACCUUGCGCUCCCUGGUAUUCCGGGGAGCACGCCUGUUCGAGUGUCGUGAAAUUUCUCAAGCUUGGAUGGAUUUUUCUGUCCUUAGUUUGGUUGUUGGGCUUUGCCGUGUCCUUCAUUGGAACGGCUGGCCUUAAAAGCAUUAGCUGAUCCUUGUGUGGCACUGGUUCUACUCAGCGUGAUAACAGUCUGAUCGUUGAGGACAUCUUUCGGGAUGGCCGGUCUUCAUUUGGGUUGCUUCUAAACCUGGUUUUUGCAGAUUGUUUCAAUCUGUAUUCCACUUUUCAGCUUUGACCUCGAAUCAGGUGGGACUACCCGCUGAACUUAA